rnacentral:rRNA from 1 species
AUUGAACGCUGGCGGCAUGCUUUACACAUGCAAGUCGAACGGCAGCAUGGGCUUCGGCCUGAUGGCGAGUGGCGAACGGGUGAGUAAUAUAUCGGAACGUACCCAAGAGUGGGGGAUAACGUAGCGAAAGUUACGCUAAUACCGCAUACGAUCCAAGGAUGAAAGUGGGGGACCUUCGGGCCUCAUGCUCCUGGAGCGGCCGAUAUCUGAUUAGCUAGUUGGUAGGGUAAAGGCCUACCAAGGCAUCGAUCAGUAGCUGGUCUGCGAGGACGACCAGCCACACUGGCACUGAAGCACGGUCCAGACUCCUACGGGAGGCAGCAGUGGGGAAUUUUGGACAAUGGGAGCAACCCUGAUCCAGCAAUGCCGCGUGAGUGAAGAAGGCCUUCGGGUUGUAAAGCUCUUUUGUCAGGGAAGAAACGGCUGUGGCUAAUAUCCAUGGCUAAUGACGGUACCUGAAGAAUAAGCACCGGCUAACUACGUGCCAGCAGCCGCAGUAA